rnacentral:lncRNA from 1 species
CUGAGUCAUAGCGUCAUGUUCAGGUGAAAUCAUCUUAUAACAGAACUUUAAUUAUUAAGAGAAUGAAUUCCCUGUACUCACAAAAAAGCCAACUCCUUGAAACAGAUGUAAUGUCAGUUAUCGACACCUAACUGCAGACAUCCUCGGCUUUGGGACUUUCAGCUAACCAUCCUAACAUACAGCCAUUGCAAGCUCGUAGAAGGCAUUAGUUUCUGCACACAGACUUAUUCACCCUUCUAUUUCUGUAUUUCUCAUCAAAGAAAAUACAUAGAGCUACAGAAAAAAAAUUAAAACCAUACUGGGCAAAGGAAACACAGCCACACUAAUCUAACAAACACUGCUACCAACGAUUACAAGAUCCUAUCACAUUAAGUCCUUGUCUAAUUCAAAUAACAGCGGUGACAAAAGGGUACCAGUAUAUGCAGUCAAGCUCAAAACAAAGUGCCCAUCAAAGAGAAAACCCUUACCCAUCACAUUAAGAAAACCCUUACCCAUCACAUUAAGCCCUUGUCUAAUUCAAAUAAAAGAGGUGACAAAAUGGUAGCAGUACA